CUCUGAGACAGGUGCUGCAUGGCUGUCGUCAGCUCGUGUUGUGAAAUGUUGGGUUAAGUCCCGCAACGAGCGCAACCCUUAUCCUUGUUUGCCAGCGAGUCAUGUCGGGAACUCCAGGGAGACUGCCGGUGAUAAACCGGAGGAAGGUGGGGACGACGUCAAGUCAUCAUGGCCCUUACGAGUAGGGCUACACACGUGCUACAAUGGCGCAUACAGAGGGCAGCAAGCUAGCGAUAGUGAGCGAAUCCCAAAAAGUGCGUCGUAGUCCGGAUUGGAGUCUGCAACUCGACUCCAUGAAGUCGGAAUCGCUAGUAAUCGUGAAUCAGAAUGUCACGGUGAAUACGUUCCCGGGCCUUGUACACACCGCCCGUCACACCAUGGGAGUGGGCUGCAAAAGAAGUGGGUAGUUUAACCUUUCGGGGAGGACGCUCACCACUUUGUGGUUCAUGACUGGGGUGAAGUCGUAACAAGGUAGCCCUAGGGGAACCUGGGGCUGGAUCACCUCCUUAUACGAAGAUAC
rnacentral:rRNA from 1 species